AAGCGGCUGUGGAGUGUAUAGAAGUGAGAAUGCCGGAAUGAGUAGCGCGAAUGCAGUGAGAAUCUGCAUGGCCGAAAGCCUCAGGUUUCUGGAGGAAGGUUCGUCCGCUCCAGGUUAGUCGGGAGCUAAGGUGAGGCCGAAAGGCGUAGCCGAUGCACAGACGGUAGAGAUUCCGUCACCACCAAAAGAGUUAAGCACAGGGACACAUAUGAAGUCUCAGAGCCGGGUGUUGGUUCCGGUAGAGAUCGAGGGAAAUUAGUACCGAAGUCUGAGAUGGAAGAUGGCGAGAAAAGCUGUGUGUAUUUCUGAGGUGCCCGUACCGCAAACCGACACAGGUAGGUAGGAAGAAGAUUCUAAGGCCAACGGGAGAAGGGUUGUUAAGGAACUCGGCAAAUUGACCCCGUAACUUCGGGAGAAGGGGUGCUCCAGAGAUGGAGCCGCAGAGAAUCGGCCCAAGCAACUGUUUACCAAAAACACAGGUUUGUGCUAAAUCGAAAGAUGACGUAUACGAGCUGACGCCUGCCCGGUGCUGGAAGGUUAAGAGGAGAUGUGCAAGCAUUGAAUCGAAGCCCCAGUGAACGGCGGCCGUAACUAUAACGGUCCUAAGGUAGCGAAAUUCCUUGUCAGGUAAGUUCUGACCCGCAUGAAAGGCGUAAUGAUUUGGGCACUGUCUCAACAGCCCGCCCGGCGAAAUUGUAGUACCGGUGAAGAUGCCGGUUACCCGCGACAAGACGGAAAGACCCCAUGGAGCUUUACUGUAGCCUAAUAUUGGGUUUCGAUGUUGCAUGCACAGGAUAGAUGGGACUCUGGGAAACUAAUGCUUUGGCGUUAGCGGAGAGGCCGUUGGGAUACCAUCCUUGCGAUAUUGGAAUUCUAACCUGCGGCUCUGAAUCGAGUCGGGGGACAUUGUUAGGUGGGCAGUUUGACUGGGGCGGUCGCCUCCUAAAGAGUAACGGAGGCGUUCAAAGGUUCGCUCAGCUUGAACGGAAAUCAAGCAAAAGAGUGCAAACGCAGAAGCGAGCCUAACUGCGAGACUGACGGGUCGAGCAGUAACGAAAGUUGGAGUUAGUGAUCCGGUGGUAUGUGAGUGGAAAUGCCAUCGCUCAACGGAUAAAAGUUACCCUGGGGAUAACAGGCUGAUCUCCCCCAAGAGUCCACAUCGACGGGGAGGUUUGGCACCUCGAUGUCGGCUCAUCGCAUCCUGGGGCUGUAGUAGGUCCCAAGGGUUGGGCUGUUCGCCCAUUAAAGCGGUACGCGAGCUGGGUUCAGAACGUCGUGAGACAGUUCGGUCCCUAUCUGUCGUGGGCGCAGGAUAUUUGAUGGGAGCUGUCCCUAGUACGAGAGGACCGGGACGGACGUACCUCUGGCGCACCAGUUGUUCCGCCAGGAGCAUAGCUGGGCAACUACGUACGGAUCGGAUAAACGCUGAAAGCAUCUAAGCGUGAAGCCGACCCAAAGAUAAGAUAUCCCACUGAUUCAAUCAGGUAAGAUCCCUUGAAGACUACAAGGUUGAUAGGCACAAUGUGUAAGUGGAGUGAUCCAUUCAGCAAGCGUGUACUAAUAGAUCGAGGGCUUGACCA
rnacentral:rRNA from 1 species